AUACGUGUUUAGAUCCAACUACAGAGUCAAGAAGCAGUAAGACCGCAUUCUAAAGAGAACUGACCACCAUGAAGUCACUCCCCUGCUCACAGCUUACACAGAGGUGGUAGAAGUGGCCCUUCUAACACUAGCCGCGGCCUCAAACAAGACUUCUGACCCCACCACCUCCCCAGAGGGGACAGAAGGACUUUGUCAGGGCUGUGCUUUGGGGCCCAACACCCCCAGAGAAAAUGGAGCCUGGCAGUCGAGGGGGAGGAGGCAUCCCAGAGGAGUGACUCGGCUCACGGUCCCGCCCCGGCCACGUCAGGUCCCUCCCCACACAAAGUCUGGUGAGACGGGAAGUGGACUGAAGAGCUGGACCUGGGCUGCCUGAUGAGCCUCUGAAGCCCGGGAGGUGAGGUGAAUCGGGGCAAGGGGAGUGUGAGGGGACCAGGCCUGGCCUUGGGGGUGGGUACGCAGAAGGACCGUGUCGUGCUCCCAAGGGAUAGCGUUCCCAGCGAGACCGCGUGGAAGGUUCUAGAAAUCGCCACGGAGCAUGCGCCAAGGGCGCGUAAGGCGGGCCACAGCCCGAGUUGGGACAUGCACUUCCCCGCGGAGUCUCGCUCUCGGCAGCAGCUCUGGAUUUGGGUGCGAGCGUAUGGUGUGUAGAGAAGCAGGUGGAGGGGUUGCUGAAGUAGUGACGCCUGCUGCGGGUUCAUUGUGGGUGUUAAAAUUGCCCUGUGUCUCAGUUGUGAACGCUUGUUGAAAAUACACGACCGUGUAAAAUAAAGUCUCUGGGAGAAAAUAUGCCAACUUGUAAACAGUGGUUAUUUUUAGAAGACAAUUAAGAGUGACCUUUUUAGUGUUAAAAAAAAAAAAAGCUGGACUGUCAUUUACUAAUCGAGAGUGAUGAGGCAGUUAUGGCUUCUAAACUGUCGCUGAAGGGUCCAUUGCAUAGUGAGAAAAAAGAGGUUCAACAAUUGGGACCAAAGGGUGAAAGACAAACAGAACAGUUUCACGUUUUACUCCGUUGAAUUAGGAUUGUUCAAAAAUGCUUACAGUGAAUUUACUAACAGAUUAAGCACCAAGGACCUUACUUACCCCCUGAUAGUAGGCAAGCUACCCUACCCUUUCCUACAAGGGAAAAAAGCCCUGGAGAGAGGACUGUUUCCACAAAUGACUUUGGAGAACCAAAACAAAGGAAAGGGCAUGAAACUGGCCCAACCAUUUUGUGAGCAGAUGAAGUCAAAGAACUUCCACUAGAUUCUUAAGCACUUACACAUUGGAAGGAAGGAGCAAAAGGGGUCCAAUCAAGGAAAUGGCUCCAUGUGCCACGGCGUCAGGGUCCUUUCCCGAUUUAGUGGAGUGGCCACGGCCUGCAGAUGCAGGAGAGCAUAUCCCAAGCCAAGGCUGGCUGGGCAAGCGCCUCCUUGGGCCUUUGGUGUAUCACAGCAAGAGCCACAGAGGGAAGGAGACCUGGAGAGUGCACCCCAGUCUGGCUGGAGGAAAUGGAAAGCUUUGCGUCUUCAGACUCUAUAGACGCCACCUAGUGGGCAAACAACUCGUUCACACUCAGCACGCAACUGUGGCUGGCCCAGUUUCAGUUACUGGCAGUCAACCACAGUCCAGAAGCAGAUGAUCCUUCUCCUGACGUAUUGUCAUGUCAAUAGCAACCUAACGCUAUGUCACAAUGCCUACAUCAUUCACUUCACUCCAUCUCAUCAAAUAGGCAUCUUAUCAACUCACAUCAUCACAAGGUCUCCUGUCAAUGCUUUGCCCUGGCAAAACCUAACCGGAGCCUGUGACAUGUGGUUGACAGGUUGCCGACCCCUUGCAAUCCAGAAGAGUUCCCAGAAAGGCUCGCAGUGGGGUUGAGAGCCAACAGUACACAACCAGCACAAGCGCAUGAUGCUGUGUGGCUGCACCAUGAACAUUUCCACCGGAGGUGGUCAAGCAAUCCCUUUGCCCUGCAGUGAUGUCAUCAAGCCAUGUACCAGGAAGAGCCUCCCUUGGGUGGGGCUUCCCCUCCUCAAGAUACACACCUGGUGGGGAGAACUCGUUGUAGAAUUCCAAGUUCAGUUCCCAGAGAGGUUAACAGCAAAGACACAAUAGAUCCUUAAGCAGCUCUUACCCUAUUCUUGGCCCUGCCCUGGCUAACCCAGGGUCUACCACAUCAGCACCUCCAUAGAUCUGUAACUGGGGUACAGGGGUGCAAGAGAUCCUGGCUCCAGGGUCCCAAAUGGACCAGGUUCAGCCACUUGCUGCUGACAAGAUCCAAGAUAAGUGGUGGUGAAACCAGACAGGCAUUUAUUUCAGUGAGGCCAGCACCAGGAAGACUUCGCAAAGAGGGUCUCCAAAGUGCUGAAAAUAUCUUCUAGAUUUAUAUAAAGAAAAUGUGGGACAAAGGUCAGUGGGUACAUAACAUAGAUGUAGGCAGUAAAAGUCGGGUUGAUCAUUGUCUUGGGGUCAGUCACAUCAAGUCAGGUCAGGUCGGUUGUUAUUGCUUAAUGGGUAGUUUUGGUUCCCAUAUGGGAUGCUUCGCUGUGGAGUCUUUUGCCUGAGUUAAGUGAUAAGCUGGAAAGAAUAACUUAAUCACUUAGAAAGUACAGACUGAGGUCAGAAUGGAGGUAGUUGAAGUCCUCUUUCAGGUACACCCUUCACCCAAUAUCUACCUGCUCUGACUCCACUGGACAUUAGCAACUCUUUCCAAAAGACAAGUAUCAUUGAUUUUAGGAAAAUGUUCCCAUUCAUACCUAUCAAAGAGCAAGUUGUUAGGGUAGGCUCUUUAUUGUUUGUUUGUUUGUUUGUUUUUCACUUUGACAAACCCUUGAAUGCUUUUAGAGUAAUUUUGUUUUGGUUUUGCUUUAUUUUGGUAUAUUUUUGUAAAUGUAUUAUGAAAACACAAAGUGUUUUUUAAAUAGGACAGCUGAGCUGGCACAAAUGAAGACCUCAGGAUGGGGACGGGUGUGCAAACCACUGUCAAUCUCGCUCCAUUCCCCUUGUCACCUUUUAGAAGGCAAAGCAGGCACUCACAGCUUAAGCUAACCCCUUCCUUCCUCUAAGCCCAAACUCCUAGGAUAUACUGAUCCUAUACCCCUAACAUGGCACAGAGGGAAGACCGCACUCUUUCAUUGGAAGAAUCAGAUAUAUUUAGAAAGAAUACAUGCCCUUGGUUAUAAUAUAUUCUCUUCAAAGAUUAUACUAGCAUGAGAACUCAUCUAUUUUCUCUACCUGAACUGCACUGUCUCAUUGAAAGAAAUUUUCCUCCAAAAUAGGGCUGAAGAAGCACUUCCUGGCUGACUGAUAGAGACACAUCCCCAGAAACAGAGUGUAGGGCAAUGGUGGGGGUGUCCUAAGGAACAUGAUAUCCUUGGCUAAUGCUGGAAGGUGCUGGCUGGGGACACAAACUCCCUGGGGGUGUGGACCCUCCUGUCCCUACUUGGACAACUCUGACCCUCAAAGCCUGCUUGAUUGGUUAGACAAUUAGUUGGUUGAAUGCAGAGUACUCAGAGUCAGAGGGAGACCCUUUUAGGGUGCUUUGCCCUGAGGGCUCUCAGGUCUUCUUCCUCCACCCAUUCACAUGUCCCCCAUGCCAAUGUUAAUCUCUUCUCUCCUCCUGCUCCCCACCCUUCCCCAGUAUUCUAAUUCUUCACCUCAUUACACAGAGGAAUUCACCUCUCCCAAGUCCUUCCCCAACCCAGGAUGAGUUUGGGUGCAAACUCAUCCUGAUUUGGGAAGUCACAGAAGCAUUACCCAACCUCUUAUAGAGAGAGACCCAUUAUAUAUAGAAAUACAUUUGGCUUGUUUUGAAUCACAACCAUGGUUACGUCCUCUAUAAACAGUUUCUUGAUUUUCUCCCAUCUACUUUAUUUUUUUUUAAUUUUUUAAUGUUUUGGUUUUUGUUUUUUUUUUUGAGAGACAGAGACAGAGCACAAGUGGGGGAGGAGCAGAGAGAGAGAGACACACACAGAAUCUGAAGCAGGCUCCAGGUUCUGAGCUGUCAGCACAGAGCCCGACAGGAGGCUUGAACCCACGAACUGUGAGAUCAUGACCUGAGCUGAAGUCAGACACUUUAACCUACUGAGCCACCCAGGCACCCCAAGAAUUUAAAUUUUCUAAUAAAACAAAAAAUUUCGUCAAAAAAGUCCAACUGUUAUAAAAGAUAUUCCUGUGCAGUUAGAUUCAUAUAAGAUGGAAAUACGUAUGCUUGUGGCCAAGCUGACACUUUAAUCAGGAGUUAUGAUUAAUUCCCUUCCCUCACUUCCAUGUCCUGGCAAGGACUAAUGUUUUCUGAUCCUAUAAUUUUGCUUUACCUAGAAUGACCUAUACAUAGACCCUAUAUAGCAUGUUGCUUUUAUG